ACUAUUUUGGCAGAAAAAUGUAAUGAUUUUAGAAAUCAUAAAUAUAUAAUUUAUUAUAUAUAUAGUA
rnacentral:tRNA from 2 species